rnacentral:misc_RNA from 1 species
CAACUGCGCAGUGCGGCCCCCCACCUCAGGUCGAGUAUAUAAAGCCGCCAUGACGUCAUGUGCCCAACAUUCAUUUUUCGUCGUGGUGAAGUGCAGAUGUGGCUACGUUGUGUGUUGUGCUGAAGAUUUCAAGAAGUGAUAAUUGUGCCUGGUCGGAUUCAGUCCCAUUGCGUUUCGCGUGGGCCUGCAUCCGUCGGCCGCCAUCUUGGUUGCCGCUGGGGCGCGGUCGCUGCUAGCUACAAAAUGGGUUUGUAAAACGGUAUCAUGCAUUUAUUUAAGUAGUUAAUUUUAAGUGUUUCAAUUUCUCUCGCAUAACGAUUAAAUUGGAAUUUUGAUUUUUAUUCAUAUUGAAUAAUAAAAUUGUACAUAUGUUUAAGUAUGGAAAUAAACAAUUUUUGAAAAAAGAAAUGUCGUAUCAAUGAACUCAUUUUGCUUUUCUUACAAUUUCACCACACAAACAAUGUAUUAUUCCAUGAGUCAUCAACGUCUCUGCGAGGAGAACAUGGCAGAGUUGCGACAGCGUUGGCGUGUUCGGGUCGCUGUGAACGAGUAUAUGAGUCAGCCGUCUGCGGUGCCGCUCGCUUGGCUGCAAUCUGCUGCGUACCGUAUGCACUGGCGUGCUGUCUACUAUGCGACGCGCUCGCAAAUUCGUCCCGGUUGUCAGCCCACUAGGUAACCGUUAGGUUGUUGGCGUGAAGGUUCCUAUCCUACAUUUAGCUAGUGUUAUUGUGUGGCCCGUACACGGGCCACUGCGUGUAACAUUAUGUUUAGUCUCUCAGAGCCCUGCGUACCGUGGCCUUGCAGCUGCCACGAGCUUCGAGUAAAGGAUCUAUCUCCUCGCCACGGAAAUACUGCUAUGAAUGUUUUCUAGAAUGGAAGUUAUGACCUCUGGUGAGUCGUAUGUUAUCAAAACAGUGGUUAAUGUGUAUCUAAUAUCCAAUGAUAAUACUGUCUGUGUUGAUACUCAUUUUGGAAAUAACUGGUUAGGAUUUUGUGCCAUAAUAAUCCAAUAAACAGGAAUUAACCUGCAAUGGAGUAAGCAUCAAGACUGUAUUUGUACAAGAAAGAGGAGUGAGGUUAAGCGGAGGUCGACCACGCACAUGUAACAUAAUUUCGCACAUCGCACAUUGUCCAGUACAAAUGACCUUGACAUGCCACGGGUCCUGCUGCCGUCGGCGCGGCGGUGGUGGGCGACUUUCACUUUUAGGUAAUGAAUGGUUCUUACUUAUUUACAAAUCAGAAAUUGGCAUGCUGUUUUUGUCUUAAUUUAUUGUGAAGAGAGACGUGCUCGAGAACAAAUAGCUUCCAUCACAGUAGCAGUAGGUGCUGAUUCUUACUGAAACAAAGAUAGGUUCCAACUAUAAGCAUUGUUUAAUUAUGAUGAUACAACUACACAAGAAAGAAACUGUGGGCUGAUGACUAAACCGGGACUGUACCUACACUAAUGUGAAACCUGAUUGAAUUCUAAAUAUAAAUAAGCUGAUAACCAAAUGAUACUAAACUGAGGGUCAAACGUGAACGGACAGAGUUAACGGUGAGUUGUCGCAACUGUACUGAUCUCUUUGAUUCUGUUCUAAUUAAUGUUCUGAGGUCUUAGUUGAUUUGCUAUAGCGACAAAUUGUAUGUAAACAACAAUUACUGAUUAUAUGCAAACUUCACAGCUAACGACUGGACUGGGUGCUGACGUGAGAGAGUAUCACGCCAAUCUAGCACUACCUAUCCUAUGAAAAGCAAGGUGAAGUCCUUCCUAGUGGAGAAGGCUAGCCCGGCUCCAGUUGAUAUUAGCGAGUGGAUCUCCACGCCCCAUCCACAGAUAAGUCAAACCGGCCAUACUCUUCAUAUUAUGUAAAUCGUAGACAAAGAGAAACGUGCCUCUGCAUUACGUAUCAAAAAACAAAAGCUGCAUAAUGGCUUUAUAGGUCUACAUUCUAUUACGAAUAUCUAAUACACAAUUUAAUUGAGAAUUUACAAAUAAUAGGUAAGUCUGGCUUGUGAUCUUCAUUUUCUGAACAAAACAUUCUGCUUAAUUAGUAAUGACAUUAGCUAUCUUGACGCAAAGGCAAGUAGGGGCCUAUAAUCAAACCUUUUAUUUCAGAUAAUAUGAGAUAAAAAUAACUAACUCGAAUUACGAUAACUACUAGCUCUCCUAAGUUUUAUUUGAAUAUCAGAAGGAAACCAAUUUAAAGCAUAUCGACACAAUUUUCGUUGAAAUCUGUGACACCGUCGUAAAAAUAACAAUAUUAUUAUGCAAAUUGAUGUUAAAACCUGUUUUAGACCAAUUUAAUUUUGGAAGUAUAUUUUUUGACAAAUCACCUGUAAACAAUGCCUUCUGGUGGGGUAUGUACAUAACAACUUCUCAUUUUAUUGGCCACUGCGUGGUGCGAUUAUAGUUCCAUUUAAACGGAACUUUGUGUGCUGAAGAUUUUGUUUGACAGGACCCACAUACAACUAGGACUCUAAAUAUCCAGACAACACAGUACCGAAGUAUUGCUGAGCAUAUAAGUUACCCAAAAUCCAGCGCUGUUUACAUCUGGUGAAUGAGACAUUCUUAUCAAAAUUGUUCCCACUUUACUUGAGUUAAGGCUCGAUUGGUAAUUACGAGUAAAUCAUAAAUAACAAAUUGAAGAUUUAGUUCCAAGGUGAACAAAGGAUACAAAAUUACAAGUAAAGCGGAGAAUCACGCACCAAUAGUUUCUUAAAGGUAUGUCGAACCAAACCCUUGAUGAUCUUGUUGACCUAUAUUGGCCAAGAUUCGGUUAAUUUCAGCCCAAAUAUUGAUCAUGAUCCAUGCCACAAUUCAUAAUCCAGAUAUAUAAAUCGAAUUAAGAAUCCCAGAAUUCAAUUAAAUAAAUACUAGGUGUGGACAAGGAAUCAAAAGGUUACAAUGUUGACUUCCUGACACGGCAGCAUCUGCUGAUGGGUACGGUUCUUUUCUAUAUUAUUAUCAUUUUAUAUAAAUUCUGUAGUGUUUUCCUAUUAGAUUCUUCUGCUUCUUUUAUCGCAAAAACUACUUGCAAGUGGAAACAUAAUAGUCUAUUUGCAUAAUUUGGAAAGAGCUUUUUAUAAAUUGUUUUAAAUCAUACAUAAGCAGAACUGAUGUUCUGUCUGUAAUCUUUUUUUUCUAUCUGUUUAGGAGCAGGAUAUAAAUAGCAGACCCUUAGUUCACACAUUCAGAGGCUUGUUAAAACCGAAUGAAUCUCUGUCACUUCAGUUUAAAAUGCUUGGAUGAAUGACCAUUUUGGGAUACUACUGAAAGAUAAAAUUGAUUCAACUUCAAAAGUUUAAUUAUCCUUCAAAGCAUCCUCUUAACUAGGAAUACAUCUGUAAUAAGGGCUGCUGGAGUUGAAAUGAUGUGAUAAGAAUUUAUAAUUAUCUGCCUAGACUUAAACCUAAACCUAUCCACAAGAUAUACAAAAAAAUCUGCAAUGUAAUCUUCCGUCGUCCUACACACAAAACAUACGAGCAGCGCAGCAUUCUUUUCUAGUUUUCAGGAACAAAGGAGCUUAUAAUAAUAUACCAAGUAUAGCAAUAAGAAUAUGAAUAUUUAGAAAUAUCACAUUUCAACACAUGGUUCUUCUAGAGUAUCAAAUAUGUAACUAUUCAGGAUAUAAUAUACUCGUAGCCGUCAACCCACACGUGUUGGUGAAACAGGUACCAAAUUUAAUUUUCAUUCCCUUGCCAUGAUCGCCCUUAUCUCUACCUGAGAUCGCUCAUGAGUAAAUUAUAUCGUCUUUCAACUGGGUAAACUUAUCCUUUAUAUUUAAAUAUUUUUCUUUUUACGCGGACGUUCCUCUUGUUACAAUGGCAUGUGUCAAUUUGUCAGGUAAAACUCCACGACUACUUACACGACGUGUGGUCUACAUACGUCGACACUGCUUUUCUACUGUUACUCCAACCGGCGUCGGUUCCGGAGAAGUGGCUCAACUCUUACGGCGCUAGUCAGACUCCUAGCCGGCCAACUGUAUACAAGUAACUACCCACAAAUCAACCUCGACACGUUACCAACGUGACAACCAACUCUACAUUGCCGGGCUAAUAGUAAAACGGUAUGUGGCUAAUCGGACAUGCACUACUGUUUUAUUCUGAUAACAAAUAUUUAUUGGUCAACUCUGUUUUUAGUAACCAGAAUCGAUUUAAAAGGCACUAUCCUAAAUUUGACAACUUUUUCAAUUUUAUAGCUGUGCGACAUCCUGUCGCCAGUUUUCUUUUAAAUUUGCUCCCUAAGUUGACAGUGGUCCUCUGCGUGGCCUCUCCACGUUUCUACUGAGCUGGCUGACUUCAUGGUCUUCGCGUAUCGCCAGAGCCCACUGCCGAAGCUUCGCAAUGCGUUGACGCGGCCCCUUCGCGAUUAAUGCUAGCCGACUUCAUUUUCCUUUAGGUUAUAAUAGUAGACUCAUGACCUGCGUGUCGUCAAUGCUCGUUGACUACGUGACCUGCGUGUCGUCAAUGCUCGUUGACAACGUGACCUGCGUGUCGUCAAUGCUCGUUGACAACGUGACCUGCGUGUCGUCAAUGCUCGUUGACAACGUGACCUGCGUGUCGUCAAUGCUCGUUGACUACGUGACCUGCGUGUCGUCAAUGCUCGUUGACUACGUGACCUGCGUGUCGUCAAUGCUCGUUGACUACGUGACCUGCGUGUCGUCAAUGCUCGUUGACUACGUGACCUGCGUGUCGUCAAUGCUCGUUGACAACGUGACCUGCGUGUCGUCAAUGCUCGUUGACUACGUGACCUGCGUGUCGUCAAUGCUCGUUGACUACGUGACCUGCGUGUCGUCAAUGCUCGUUGACAACGUGACCUGCGUGUCGUCAAUGCUCGUUGACAACGUGACCUGCGUGUCGUCAAUGCUCGUUGACAACGUGACCUGCGUGUCGUCAAUGCUCGUUGACUACGUGACCUGCGUGUCGUCAAUGCUCGUUGACUACGUGACCUGCGUGUCGUCAACCCUCAAAGUUCACUGAAGUAAAUGUAUAUCGCCUCGUGAUCAAGAAUAGAUGACUACAAUCUUCUCGUGUGCCAAUGCUCACUAUCGAAAUGACGACCAUGUAAUACUAUCUUGACCCAUACCAACUACCCUGAAAUGCACACCUGUAAGUGAGAUGCUAUAGCACACAUAGCACACUCCACACUCUUCCCCAAGCUCUGUAAACUCUACCAAGAGAUAAAAUGCUACCAUAUGCUUGCUCGUCCUGAAGUAGGUACCUUAGAAAAAUCGAGCCGAGCACUGAAGUGCUCCGCUGAGCAUAUCAGGAUAUCACUUCUACUUCACUUACUGCAAACGGGUAUGUCAAAUUCUUUCAAAUUAAAAUCGUCUAAUCAAUCCUAUCCUGCCAAAUUGGCUGACUGCGGUUUAUAAUUUGUCGUAGGUAUUGUCGUCUAUUAAGACUAACGUCGACGCUCCGCGCUACACUGCACUGUGUCAAAUUCACGUCUUUUAGCAAGGCAAGCGGAUCGACGAUCAGCCGCAUGGUUACUCCGGGCCCUCGUGUCAUCCCUAGACGGCGCGCAUACUGCGCGAUUUAAACUACAACUAGAUGCAUAGUCAUCCCUCGAUCGAAGAGGCGAUCGACCAUCGGCCGCCUGGUCAUCUCAGCCGCUCGUGUCUACUCUGCUCGGUUCGCGAACUGCGCGCCUUCUCCGGGCAAGGUGAUCGACGAGCAGCCGGCCUGGUCUUCCCAGGCAGUCGUAUCUACUCUGCUCGGCUCGUAACCUGCGCACCUUUUCCGGGCAAGGUGAUCGACGAUCAGCCGCCUGGUCUACCCGGGCACUCGUGUCUACUCUGCUCGGCUCGCGAACUGCGCGCCUUCUCCGGGCAAGGUGAUCGACGGUCAGCCGCCUGGUCUACCCGGGCACUCGUGUCUACUCUGCUCGGCUCGCGAACUGCGCGCCUUCUCCGGGCAAGGUGAAUUGUGUUCGGAGGCAUAGUCAUCUCCGCACUCGUGUAUACUCUACACGGCUCGCGAACUGCGCGCCUUCUCCGGGCAAGGCGGUCGAGGAUCAGCCGCCUGGUCCACCCGGGCACUCGUGUCUACUCUGCUCGGCUCGCGAAAUGCGCGCCUCCUCCG